GCAUUUAUAGUUUAAUCGGUUAAAAUAGUAAUUUGUGGCAUUACAGAUUAAAGGUUCAAGUCCUUUUAUUUGCC
rnacentral:tRNA from 1 species